rnacentral:rRNA from 1 species
CAUUAAAGAGUUCUAUAACUCCCAAACCCAUGUGAACAUACCUAACGUUGCCUCGGCAGGUCGCACCUACCUUGUAGCACCCUACCCUGUAGGGCCUACCCGGGAGGUGCGGGUAAGCCUGCCGGCGGCCCACCAAACUCUGUUUGAUAUUGAAUUCUGAACCUAUAACUAAAUAAGUUAAAACUUUCAACAACGGAUCUCUUGGUUCUGGCAUCGAUGAAGAACGCAGCGAAAUGCGAUAAGUAAUGUGAAUUGCAGAAUUCAGUGAAUCAUCGAAUCUUUGAACGCAUAUUGCGCCCAUUAGUAUUCUAGUGGGCAGGACCGUUCGAGCGUCAUUUCAACCCUUAAGCCUUCGUUGCUUAGUGUUGGGAGCCUACGGCAACGUAGCUCCUCAAAGUUAGUGGCGGAGUUGGUUCACACUCUAGACGUAGUAAUUUUUUAUCUCGCCUAUUAGUUGGACUAAUCCCCUGCCGUAAAACCCCUAAUUUAUCAAGGUUGACCUCGAAUCGGUUCAGACAAACUCGCUAAAUUGAAGCAUCUUAGUCAGCGAAGGAAAAGAAACCAACAGGGAUUGCCCUAGUAACGGCGAGUGAAGCGGCAACAGCUCAAAUUUGAAAUCUGGCCCUCGGGUCCGAGUUGUAAUUUGUAGAGGAUGCUUUUGGCGCGGUGCCUUCCGAGUUCCCUGGAACGGGACGCCUUAGAGGGUGAGAGCCCCGUACGGUUGGACACCAAGCCUCUGUAAAGCUCCUUCGACGAGUCGAGUAGCUUGGGAAUGCUGCUCUAAAUGGGAGGUAAAUUUCUUCUAAAGCUAAAUAUUGGCCAGAGACCGAUAGCGCACAAGUAGAGUGAUCGAAAGAUGAAAA